CUGAGAUCGCGCCACUGCACUCCAGCCUGGGUGAGAGCGAGACUCCAUCUCAAAAAAAAAAAAAAAAACAGAGAGAGAGAAAUAUCUAAACACACACACACACACACACACACACACACACACACACACACACCAUAGAAGGAUGCCCAAGCAAGUAAUAAAAUUGAUUAUAUGUUAGUUAAAGGGUGGGAACUUAGUGGUUAGGAUAUAGGAUGCAGAGAUGGGGGGAUUACUUUUUGUUGUAUUCUUUUUUUAUUUUUUAAACCAUCUGAAUGCAUUAUCUAUUCAAGAAAUUGAAAAAGACACACACACACAAACUUCCACCUAGGACUGGGGAUUCUUGGAUUCUUCACAAGUUGCUGGGUAAAUGUGAUUCUACCUCAGCUGGCUGUCCCUCUGUCGUUUUCCCUCCCUCGCUCCCACCAGGUUUUCCUGAGACCCUGGAUUCCAGUAAACGGUCCUGCCAUCUCAACUCGUGCCUCCAGAUCAUGGACUAUGUGUGACCUUGGGCAAGUUACUUCAUCUCUCUGGGCCUCAAUAAAACAGAGUAAUCCUAGUACCUGCCUCCAAGGGUUAUGGCGCUCUAUUGAUUCAGAAGAUUGAGUUAUGCAUUGCAAACUGGCAGAGCAUUGAAAAGUAACAAGACCCAAUAAAUGGCAGUUUGUGAAAAUC
rnacentral:lncRNA from 1 species